rnacentral:sRNA from 1 species
UUGACAAGUCAGGGAAUAAAUAGGAAGCAAUGUUUACACAAACUUGAAACAGGAGAUACUGAUUCUAAGUAAUGCAAUGCCGUGUCCAGGUUACAACAAGAUCCUUUUGAGCCACCACACUCUAUUCUUCUACCACCAGAAGAAGUGGCCCAGAUUUAGGAUCGGAGGAAUCAUUCCUUCACCAUGUCCUGUGGUCUGUGUUGACAGCAAUAUCAAGAACCUUCAAGCUGCUCCUUGCUAACUGGAAUGUCCACGUGGUUUCUGCUUUCU